GAUUUAUCAGUGGAUGAUGCCAGCAGGGACAUUUUGCACCUCCUGGAGGACAACACCGAAUAUUUGGUUUUAGUGCUGGAAUUUAUACAAGCUGUAAGGUCAUUACAGCUGAGAGAAACUCACUUUAAGGAAAUAAUCACAAGUUUAAAAGGCUGCAGCCAGAAGGUAAAACUCAAAAUAUAUUAUUUUGCUUUCCUAUUCAGAAAAUAAUAAAUAGUUGCUGUUCUCACUGUGGAAAGGAAUUUGUUCUCUGAGUAUCAAAAUUCCCAAAACAAUACCAGGAUCUUUUUUGGAUUUUUUUUUCAUUUACAGUUUGUGGAUGAUGCAAACAUCAUAACCAAUGAAGUGAAAAAAUUCAGAGAGCAGAAAACCAGCAAGCUGAAGGAACACCUGAAGCACUUCCUGGAAAAGAAGAAAACUGAGAAUAUUUCGAGUAGUUUUGAUCCAUUUCAGAGUUUGAUGAAGGAUGGUGCUGAGAGAAAAUCUUCCCUGGGAAAGGAUUUCCAGCUGGAUCAACAGCAGUUGAGAUUGGGAGAUAAAAAAGGGAAAAUGCAGCAGGACAGCAAAUCCCCAUCCCACAGCAGCCAGAAUUCCCAGGCUCCAGGGACACAUCCCAGGGCACAGGAUCAGCUCCUCCUGUUCCUCACUAAGAGUACCAAGGUGCUGAAGCAGGCAGAGCACCUGAUGGCAUCCAGGGUCAUGCUGCUGAACCCCCAGCUCACAGCACCUCCCCUGCAGGGUAAAAAAACCAUAAAAAUUCAAAUAACUUUGACCUUUCCUGCUUUUUCCUGCCACUGUUCCCACCUUGCCUACAAAAUUCCCCACGUUUGCUCAAAAACCACGGUGAGAAAUGGAUUGUUCAGGAAAACAACUUUGCUGUGUUUCUGUACCCAGGGCAGGAAAUGAAGAGUGAAAUCCCCUCUUUUCUCCUCGGCCUCCUGAAGGAGGUGAACGACGAGCUCCAAAUUCAUGCGCUGGCAGCUGGGCUGGGACAGAGCCAAAAGCUGGAGAAAACAGGAAUUACUGCUCAGGAAGGAGAGCUGAGAGCACUGGACCCUGCAGCCCUUUCUCCCAGGGAGUUUGUGGUGUUCCAGUACGGCCUCUCCAUCCUACAGUUCCUCACAUUUCACAUUCAAGCUCCAGGAAUCACCCUGGCUGUUGCCUCCAGCCUCCCCCAGAGCCAUGCCCCAGGCAAUGCCUUCAGGAAUUCUUUCUUUUAUCAGAAUUCCAAGAAGAAACUCUUCAUCCUGAGGGAUUGCCUGGGCUCUGGGGGAGGUUUCCUGCUGGUGCUGGUGCACUGCUUGGCUCACAUCACUGCUGGGGACCUCGGCCACGACACCAACCCCCUCUUCCUGAGCCUUUUCCACCAGGCUCUAAAGGCCUGUCUCAGUGAGAUGUUCUCCCUCAGGCUGCAGCUCUCAGCAGCUCCCCAGGGGGAUAAAUCCCAGGAGAUAAAGCAGAUGCUGCUCAAGGAGGAGCCAUUCUCCACAGAGGAAAUAAACCUCAUCUCCCAACUUUUUGAAGUGAGAGUGAAAAGCCAAACAGACAUGGAAGCCUUUGAGAAGAACCUCUUGCUCCGUGUGAAGUCUGAGGAAUCACUCAACAACAAGUGGCUGGUGAAGAAAAAAGAGAAUUUCCUUCAUCCCCUGAGCAGCAGUGGAAGGGACAGCCUCCGACAGAGGGCACACCUUGAAGGGGAAGCUGUCAAUUCCUCGUUCCCUUCAGCACUGGAGGAUAAAGUGGAUGCAUUAACUGAGGAGCUGCUGCAGAUCAUGGAGGAUGAAGAGCAGUUUUUAAGCAGCAAAGGCAAUGAAGAUCUGCUCUCUUACUACCUUGAAAUAACCAGUUUGGAGAAGGAGAGUUUGGUAAAACAAAUAAAUGCAUUAGAAGAGGAAAUAGCCCAGGGCACAAAGUUGUGAUGCUCAGAACUUUGUGGUUUGGUUCCUGCCCCUCUGCUCUGGGCAUUAGGCUUCAAUCCAAAGUAAAUCCUCUGUUUUUGCUUUAAUUCCAGUGUAUUUUUCCUCUCCAUCCCAAAGGCUCAUUAAAUCAAGAGGGAAAGCAGUGCAGUAAUUUAAAUGACAAGACUUUGGCUGGAGGAACUGACAUUUCUGGCCACAUCCAAGAGCUGAGAAGAAAUAUUGCUGCAAAAGCCCAGACUCAGUUUCCAGGAACUGAAACAGAACCACUCAAUUCCUAGUGUUAAAUAAAUUAUUCUUUAAACCAAUGCA
rnacentral:lncRNA from 1 species